UACGUAGGGGGCAAGCGUUAUCCGGAUUUACUGGGUGUAAAGGGAGCGUGGACGGCAGGGCAAGUCUGGAGUGAAAGGCAGGGGCCCAACCCCUGGACUGCUCUGGAAACUGUCCGGCUGGAGUGCAGGAGAGGUAAGUGGAAUUCCUAGUGUAGCGGUGAAAUGCGUAGAUAUUAGGAGGAACACCAGUGGCGAAGGCGGCUUACUGGACUGUAACUGACGUUGAGGCUCGAAAGCGUGGGGAGCAAACAGG
rnacentral:rRNA from 1 species